UAAGACAGAGGGUGCAAACGUUGUUCGGAAUUACUGGGCGUAAAGCGCGUGUAGGCGGCAGGGCAUGUCGGAUGUGAAAUCCCGUGGCUCAACCACGGAAGUGCACCCGAAACUGCCCAGCUGGAGUCUCGGAGAGGAAGGCGGAAUGCUUGGUGUAGAGGUGAAAUUCGUAGAUAUCAAGCGGAACACCGGUGGCGAAGGCGGCCUUCUGGACGAUGACUGACGCUGAGACGCGAAAGCGUGGGGAGCAAACAGGAUUAGAUACCCUGGUAGUCCACGCCGUAAACGAUGAGUGCUAGGUGUCACGGGCUUUGACCCCUGUGGUGCCGUAGCUAACGCAGUAAGCACUCCGCCUGGGGAGUACGGCCGCAAGGCUA
rnacentral:rRNA from 1 species